GGAUUGUAGUCUGCAACCCGACUACAUGAAGCUGGAAUCGCUAGUAAUCGCGGGUCAGAAUGCCGCGGUGAAUACGUUCCCGGGUCUUGUACACACCGCCCGUCACACCAUGGGAGUCGGAAAUGCCCGAAGUCUGUGACCCAACCUUAGGGAGGGAGCAGCCGAAGGCAGGUCGGAUGACUGGGGUGAAGUCGUAACAAGGUAAC
rnacentral:rRNA from 1 species